CUUUCAUAGAAAUCUGAUACAGCUGCGUACCAGUGACAUAAUUUGCUUUAUACAGUAUUUAAUAAUUUCAAUAAAGGAAAAAGGAACUGUAAUUUAAGUCUUUACAUUCUGAGGACUGCAAUUUUGAAAAUAAAAUGCUAGUGAUAAGACUGUUAUUCUGUUGGCAAUUUGAAUAUACAGGAUAAAAUGUGCACUGUUGUAUUGAAGGAACUGACAAUAUAAAUGUCUCAUGUGUGUAAGGGACACAUUAAAAAUGAUAUUAUCUUCCUGCAAUGUUUAGGAAAAUCAUUAGAUAUUUGUUGACAUUAUCAGAUUUCCACUGAGAUGUUGAUGCAUGUUCACUUACAUGAUAACUCUAAUGGAAACCAAAGAGAUGUUAAUAAUUGAUCCCUGGGGUAAUGAGAAAACCGAUGAAAGAGAAUUCCUGAGGAAUUGGAGGUCUUUCCUCUAUCAACGAAAUGGAAAACUGAAGGAGAAUUGGAAAACCAAAAUACUGGACCACCACAGACAAAUUGAUGGGCAUAACUGCGGACCACUAAUCCUAAAGAGAGCGUGGAGGACUACUGCCUACACUGCAAUUAUCUAACUUGCAAAAAAAUACAUGAAGAUGGAAUAAUGGUAAGGGGAAAAAAAGGUAUGAUAUAUUGGAACAGAUCUGUAAGGAGAAGGCAGUACAAGAACAAAACUCAUGGCUGAAGACAAACAGUUGCAUAUUAUCCAAACAUAAUUACCUGCCUAAAGAUCACGAUUAUUGUAAUAAUUCCACAGUAGCAAAUAUUUCCACUGCUGCUGAUAGUCAGAUCUUGAUUAAUGAUAAUAUGUUGAAGGAAUAUUAGUUAUUAACUUUUACAUUAGUUGAAGUUAUCUGUACAAUUAUUAUUUUUUGGAUUUCACAUUCUCACUUCUUACUUAUCAAAAGUGCAGUGCGACUCUUGCGAGAGGUGGGCACACAUAGCCUGCCUUCCCGAGGGAAUCACUGAAGAAAACCUGAAUGCUGAGGAGAAAGGGUACAGAUGCAUCAAGUGUGCAUAGUUCAGUUAUUUAACUAAAAUGUACAUUGAAUAAGGAAUUUGCUAAGAGCAGUAUUUUUGUUUUCUUCAGCAAACACUUCUGAAAUAUAAAUGAGAAGAGAAGUGUAACCUUACAUUAAAUUUCAGUAAAGAAAAAAAGCAUUAACUAUCUAUAAAUAUGUUCAGAUUAUUUUUUAUAAAAAUAGUUGAAAUGAAACCUACAAUGUUCUUGUUUCCAUCUCUUGUUACAAUAGGGAAGGUUUUAUAUUUUUAAAAAUACCUCAGUAUAGUUGUGUCCACAUUUUCAAUGGAGAUUUCACAAUGGUAACAAAUUAUGACAGGGCAUCAAUCAUCCAUAAAGGUUUGUUACCUCUGAAAUUUCUCAUACUGUGCUCUCAGGCUGAUGCCCUAUGACAUACAAAGCAAAUGGGGCCAGAGGUACCCCCUCGGUCAUACUUUGGUACCCCUAGACCAGAAGUGUUGCAUGGGUUUUUGUUCAUUUCAUUCUCAACAUAGUCAUUUGGAUGUUUAUCACAACAUU